rnacentral:ncRNA from 2 species
UUGGUUGUGUCCCGUCCAAGUUCCGGCCUGCGGGUCGGAUUGAAAGGGAACACGGAACGGCCCCCGGGCCCAGACCGUGGCUGCCCCCGCAACUGUGAGCGGCGAGCGACGUCGACAUGCCACUGGGAUUUCCCGGGAAGGCCGACGAAGCGAAGACCCGUGAGCCAGGAGACCUGCUUGGACGAUCACCCACCC